GAAGAAAUAGUUUAACUAGAAAAUUUUCUAUUUACGCUAGAAGGAUCUCUUUGAGGGGGGUUUCUUUG
rnacentral:tRNA from 1 species